UGGGCGAGGGGACGGUUUAAACUUGUACUGUUACAUUCACAGAAGUAACAAGUAUUGGUAGACCUACCAAUUAGUUAUAAUGAUUUUACUGAUGCAAAUUAUGUUUAUGAAUUAUGAAGUGAUUAAAAUUAAACGGAAUUACUGCACCUGAAUUGGCUACAAAGGGAAAUCAUAAUAGUCACAAAUCACAGUUGGGUCACCUGCUACUGUCCUCCUGUCCACUGGCAUACUGCUGUGUCCAGUUCAUAAAUGUUUUCUUUUACUUUCUGUUUGGUGGUCAAACCAAGAGUGUUAAAACUGAGUCUGGAAAACCCCUCCCACUCUCGCUCUAUCCAAUUAAUAUCACCUCUCCCAACGCUUAAUGACACCUACCCAUGUAACCCCUCUCUUUCCAUUUACUGUAACCAGUUUCCUCACCCUCUGAGCACCGACUGACACCGGACAUCGAAAAGUAGUUGAAAUUUGGUCAGUCUACCCUGGCCUUGAUAUUAACGUCCACAGAUGGACUGGACCAAAUCUGAACCCAUCAUAGACGCAUGUUUCACAAGUUUGGAUAACAUAGUACAGUGUUGUUACUGUAGUUCAAUAACCAAAAUAUAUAUUGAACUCAAGGUGCCAUGUCAUAGCUUUACACCCCAUUCUUUCUGUAGACAUCUUUGAAUUGUAAUUUGGAGCAAAUAUUUAAAAGAACCUGAGGGAGAUUUUACGGUAAUCUGUUACCAAAGUUUGCACCUGCACAGUUCUUCCACAGAAUUAGUUUUUUUGUUACAAAAAAAUAAUAGAAAUUGUUAAAAGUAGUCCGUGUGGAUAUAGUUCUAUUGUUAAACCUUUAUAUCAAUGUUUUUUUGUUUGGCAUACAUUUUAAAGUGAAAAGACUGAGUCAAAGCGCAAAUAUGUUACUGUGCAAUUGCCCUGAACUCCUAAUGCUAGCGUAGUUGUAAUUCUGUCUUGUGUCUCACUGAUGUUUUGUUUUAUGAUCUGGGAAUGGUGUACUGGGGGCUAACACAUUACAUCCACUAGCAGAUAGUGGGAGACUAGGUUCAGAAGAAAGUUGCAGCUUAUUUACGGAAUUUCUAUACAAUUUUGGAGAACAGCCAAAAACAAACAUUGUUUGCUGCAGCUUCACCUCAGUCGAUCUACAAACACGUAGCCUAUUAGCUAUACAAUUAGCCGCUAUCCAUUUACUCAGGACCUGGAUUAAAAACAAUUUCAUACGUCCAGAGGGAUCUGUUAGCGGAAAAAUGUAUUUUUUAUUAACAAACGGUAAACCGAUACAUUUUGCUUUACAGAUUUAUUUUAUACAGCUAAUUUCCUGCAAUUCUACACAUUUUGCAAUGACAUAUGCAAUGUUAAUACGAUAUCUCAGUGAGAGUGACUAACAAAAUCAAAAUGGGGGCCCCCUGGAGGUCAGGGACAUGGUUGGUAAUUCGGCACUGAUUACACUGAGUUUAGGUUGACCGUUAAAUUAGUGUAGCCAGCUAACAUUUUUUUUUACUGUUUUCCAUCCAGAAUAUGCACAUUUUCCCACUAGUGGUGUAUUCAUACCAAACAGACUUGUUGCAAAUACAAAUCAGUGAGUGAUGUAGUGCACACAAUCAACUUUUCUGCUUAAGUUUUCACGUACCUAAUACAAAUCCAAUGUUCAAUGUGUUUCUAUUGCAUUUUCAACUAUACCGAUAGUUUUGUCACAGAAACUGUUGUGUUAAAUAUCAAAAUGGUACUUGCGCUCUAGCGAACAGUUUGCAGAUACAGUACGGCUUAGGCUGUGCGGGUAGGAUAGUCAACAUGAUGAGAUUAUUAUGGAUAAGAUCUAGAAUGUUUUGAUUUGUCAAGACGGUAGUCAAGCAUCUAUCAUCAUGUCACCAAAAUAAGACCCUAGACAUUUAUUGGAAGUAGGAGCAUCAAACUCAUACCAUGCACUUUUUAAAUAAGUUGUGUUCAUCAUCAACUUAUUUAAACUGUAGCCUAUUAACAGCAUGGUUUCCCGAGACAUAGUGGGAGGACCACAAACCAUGUCAUUGCGUGACUCCAACUUUACUUCAAUAUGUUUAUUAUAAUCGAUAUUUGCUCAUAAAGGCAUUUCCACCGCCAUUUCUCUCAUAAUUAAUUUUACCAACACAAAAAUAUCCUACCAUGUCAAACUAACAAAUGUGUCAGCAUUUAUAAAAUUAUACUGAGACUUCCUGUUUCAUCACAGCUGUUGCUUUAGUUGCAUAAAAACUGUGGAUGGAAAAGUGGUUACUGAGUGUCAAUUAACAAGAGGAAAACUGCUGAUGCACAACCAAGUUUCGAAAAUUGCACCUCGUGUAUUCUACUAUUGUUACUCUCAACAGUAAGCUAAGAUCCCCAGACUGAGUG